AACGAACGCUGGCGGCAUGCCUAACACAUGCAAGUCGAACGAGACCUUCGGGUCUAGUGGCGCACGGGUGCGUAACGCGUGGGAAUCUGCCCUUGGGUUCGGAAAUACAGUUGGAAACGACUGCUAAUACCGGAUGAUGACGUAAGUCCAAAGAUUUAUCGCCCAGGGAUGAGCCCGCGUAGGAUUAGCUAGUUGGUGGGGUAAAGGCCUACCAAGGCGACGAUCCUUAGCUGGUCUGAGAGGAUGAUCAGCCACACUGGGACUGAGACACGGCCCAGACUCCUACGGGAGGCAGCAGUGGGGAAUAUUGGACGAUGGGCGACAGCCUGAUCCAGCACUGCCGCGUGAUUGAUGAAGGCCUUAGGGUUGUAAAGCUCUUUUACCCGGGAUGUUACUGUACCUACCGAAAGAGCACCCCCCAGCUACCUC
rnacentral:rRNA from 1 species